rnacentral:rRNA from 1 species
AUGCGGUGCAUGGCAAUGCCCGCAGGUAAUGAAGCAGAAGAUUUAGGCGGACCGCUAUCUCAGUUGUUAGGACUUAUACAAGAUGUCUCUAUUGUGGAAAGUGGGCCACAUUUGGACUCCAAGCAUGCAUAUGUUAUUGUCAGGCAUGUGAAGUUUGCAACCAAGAAAGGCGGAAAGAAAGCUAGCAAGGCCAUGGAAGACGCGGGCAAAGGUACCCCCAGCAACACUGCCUGUGAAUCACCAGCCACUGCUACUAAUAGUGGGGACAAGACAAGUGAACAUGGUUUGGAAGUUGAGGAUGUUGACAAAACGCCAGCCUAUUACUCUCGUGAUUCUUUGGCGCAAAAAGAAAGGCAAGAUAGAGGCGUUGGAGGCAGCAACCGCGAUAACAUGGACAACGUGAGUGCUGGAGGAAACAGGAUUAACCCUAGUCAGGGGGGAUCACAAUCAUCCGAACAUGGACUUGGUUCUAGGAGUGGAAAUUCUCACAUGGAAAAGCGAGAGAAGACUAAUCAGGAUAUGGUACCUGAGCAAACCAACAGGUAUGCUAGCCGUAGACAGCAGAUGGGAGGCGUUAACCAAGGCAGACCCCCGCAGGACCCGAGAAGAAAUGAAAAUGAAGGUCGCCACCGGUUCAACGGCAAUCAAAGGCCUUUGGAACAGCCUAGCCCGCCAUCGGCAAGGUUCAGCCAAGGCAGACCCCCACAGGACCCGAGAAGAAACGAAAAUGAAGCCCGCCACCGGUUCAACGACAACCAGAGGCCUUUGGAACAGUCUAGCCCGCCAUCGCCAAGGUUGGGCCAAGGCCGACCCCCACAGGACCCGAGAAGAAACGAGAGAAGGAGCCAUGUCCCAUCAUCAAAUAAUAACCAGCCGCCACGAUUCCAACAAUCGAAUCAGAACAGUGGACCAUUAGCAGGCCGCGAUGCAGGGAGUCCGACUCCAACAGCCAGGAGUUUGGGCGUCUUCAGCAGCCGAACGCAAGCCACAACAUCCGAGCCGAAGAAGGCAGAUGGUGCGUCCGCUGCUGGUAAGCCUUCCGAUACCAGUCCGACCAAAAGCUUUGGAAUAUUUAGUACUCCCAGAAAGUGA